rnacentral:lncRNA from 1 species
GGUCACAGUCACUUAUGGGGUUUUAUGGGGUCCCCAUAUACAUACAAUGGGGUUAUGGGGUUUUAUAAGGACCCCAUAGACACACAAUGGGAGUUUAUGGGGUCACAGUCACUUAUGGGGUUUUAUAGGGUCUCCAUAUAAACCCAAUGGGGUUUAUGAGGUUUUAUGGGGUCCCCAUAGACACACAAUGGGGUUUUAUGGGGUCCCCAUAGACACACAAUAGGGUUUAUGGGGUUUCAUGGGGUCCCCAUAGACACACAAUGGGGUUUAUAGGGUUUAUGGGGUCCCCAUAGACACACAAUGGGGUUUAUAGGGUUUAUGGGGUCCCCAUAGACAGACAAUGGGGUUUAUGGGGUCACAGUCACUUAUGGGGUUUCUGGGGUCCCCUAUACCCACAAUGGGGUUUUAUGGGGUCCCCAUAGACACACAAUAGGGUUAAUGGGGUUUUAUAGGGUCCCCAUAGACACACAAUGGGGUUUAUGGGGUCACAGUCACUUAUGGGGUUUUGUGGGGUCCCCCAUAUACACCCAAUGGGGUUUAUGGGGUCCCCAUAGACACACAAGGGGGUUUAUAGGGUCACAUUCACAUAUGGGGUUUUAUAGGGUCUCCAUAUAAACCCAAUGGGGUUUAUGGGGUCCCAUAUACACACAAUGGGGGUUUAUAGGGUCACAGUCACUUAUGGGGUUUAUGGGGUCCCCCAUUCACACAAUGGCGUUUUAUGGGGUUUAUAUGGUCCCCAUAUACUCUCAAUGGGAUUAAUGGGGUUUUAUGGGGUCCCCAUAUAAACCCAAUGGGGUUUAUGGUGUUUAUGGGGUUUUAUGGGGUCCCCCAUACCCUCAAUGGGGUUAAUGGGGUUUUAUGGGGUCCCCAUAUCCACCCAAUGGGGUUAAUGGGGUUUUAUGGGGUCCCCCAUACCCUCUAUGGGUUUAAUGGGGUUUUAUGGGGUCCCCAUAUCCACCCAAUGGGGUUAAUGGGGUUUUAUAGGGUCCCACCCCAUUCCCCCCCUUUUGGGGUCGCCCCCCCCCCAUAUUGGGGUCUCUUAUGGGGUUCACAGUUGGGGGGGGGGAGGCCGCCCCUAUGGCUUCGCUGUGGGGUCUCUGCGCCUGUGGGGAGACAAUGGACCAGUAUCAACGACCCCAUUACCCCAUAGAUCCCAUUACCCCCAUAGAUCCCAUAGGAUCCCAUUACCCCCAUAGGAUCCCAUUACCCCCAUAGGAUCCCAUUACCCCCAUAGAUCCCAUUAACCCCCAUUGGAUCCCAUUGGAUCCCAUUGCCCCCAUAGAUCCCAUUACCCCCAUUGGAUCCCAUUACCCCCAUAGGAUCCCAUUACCCCCAUUACCCCCAUA